AUAUAAUCAGUCUGAUUUCAGUGUUGACCAUCUGGUGAUGUCCAUGUGCAGAGUCUUCUCUUGUGUUGUUGGAAGAGGGUGUUUGCUAUGACCAGUGCAUUCUCUAUGCGGUAUUAGUAUUUUUAGUAUUCUGAAGAUUGUAUGAUUCAUUUCUUCUGCAGGUGUAGUUUUUCUUACAGAAGAAUAUCCAGUUAUUUCAUGAUGGCAUUUGCACCUCCAAAAACCACAAAUGGUCCCAAAAUGCAGACAAAGAUGAAUACCUGGACACCCCUAAACCAUCAGCUUUUGAAUGACUGGGUAUUUGAAGAAAGAAGGGCUCUGCUUGGAAAAUGGUCACCGCUUCUUUUCUGUGCUGGUCUACAAGCUCCAGUCUAAAGAUAUUUACUAACCUAAAGAAGGAAAAACAAAGUCAUGUACACAAUGUUUCUGGAGGACUUUACAUAUCCCCUGGAGAAAGAAAUGGCAACCCAUUCCAGUAUCCUUGCCUGGAAAACCCCAUGUGCUGGGAGCAAGCGUGAGGAACUCUGCCCAUGGCAAAGGUCAUGAGGAAGGCGGCUUCGGCAUACGCAAAGGUGGGAUCGAGCCUCAGGAAACCCCCUGUGCCCGAGCAUCUACCCCCAAAACCAGAGUCUACCUACUUUACUGUUUCAUGCUCUCACCUACACCUCUGACUUUAUGGGGGGCUGUUCCCCACCGGUUCUCUUGGAAAAGGAGUAAACUUGCAGCUCCAGUCAAUAAAAAUUCCUGGGCGUGACAAGGAUGUCUCAGGUCAAACCUCUCUGCUGGCAGACUAGUUUGUGUGACAAGAUUAUCCAUAUUCCUGCCACUAUGCACAUGAUUGUUUACUACCUCUCAACCAUAAACAGCACAGAGAGUUUGGAGUAUUUUGAAAAUCUUAAUUAGCAUAGGGCUUUUCUCAUUGUUGAGUCAAUGAUUGCCGCCAGACCUCCAUAUCCUUAGGCACCUGGGAAUAUAUUAAUGUAUUUGGAAUAUAGAAAAGGAAAUAGAGUAGUUUUUGAUGUUAGCAAUACUAGACUUUUUGAGUUAAUGAAUUUUCUUUUGUUAUAGAUCACUGUACUUUGUUAUAAAUCACUGUGUCCUUGCUAUGCAAAAAUGUAACUUUAUCACUAUCUUAAGACUAAAUAGAUCUUAAGGGGAACAUUGGUGAAGGGUUUUCAUUUGUUGGGCUGAUGUUUGCUGCUAAAUCUCCAUAUUCCCUGCCCUUAUAAUGAAUAUAACUAGCAUAUAGGAG
rnacentral:lncRNA from 1 species